CUUUAUCCAGUUUCCCCAAUGGAAACAUUCACAGAACUGUAGUAAAACAUCACAACCAGGAUAUCAACGCUGAUGCAGUCAAGAUACAGAGCUUUUCUCCACCCGGCGUGUUGUCCUCCCAUAGACACACCCUCUUCCCUCCCAUCCACUCCCAUCUUGGCCCCCGGCAACCACUCAUCUGUUCUGCAUUUCUUUAUUUUCAUCAUUUCAAGAGUGGUAUAUAGACGGAAGCAUACAAUAUGUAACUUUUUGGAACUGGCUUUUUUUUCCACUCUCCAUAAUUCUCUUGAGAUUCAUCUAACUGGUUGUGUAUUUCAAUGGUUUGUUGCUUUUUACUGAAGAGUCUUCCAUGGUGGGAAUGGACCAGUUUGUCCCACCAUUCAUCCAUUGAAGGACACUUGGGUUGUUUCCCGGUUUGGGUUGUACAAAUAAAGGUGCUAUAAAUAUUCAUGUACUGGUUAUGUACAAACACGAUCAUCAUUUCUCUGGGAGAAAUGCCCAGGAGUACGAUUCCUGGGUCAUGUGGUAGUUGUAUGUUAGUUUUUUGAGAAGCUGGCAAACUGUUUUCCUUAGAGGCUUCGCGGUCGGACGUUCCCACCAGCAAAGGAGGGGAGAACCGGUUUCUUCACACCCUCCCCGACUUUGUUGUCGUCACUAUUUUUUAUUCCAGCCGUUCUGAUAGGUGUGCACUCCAGUCUUAUUGUGGCUUGAACUUGGACUUCCCUAAUGGUCAACUAUGGUGAACAGGUCCUUGCCUUCUUUAUUGCCUCUGCGGAGAAAUGUCUCCCCAUGUCUUUUGCCCACAUUCUGAAUGGAUUGUUUGCUUGUUUACAGUUGAACUGUGAGAAUUCUUCCUCUAAACUAGAUACUAGUCCGUUGUCAGAUGCACAGAAUGCUAACAUUUCCUCCCCUCUUGCCAGUCUGUUUGCCCUUUUAACGGACUUUCACGGGGGAAAGCCUUCAUUUUGAUGAAGUCCAGUGUACCCACCUUUCUUUUUAUGGGUUGUGCUUUUGGUGUCCAGCGUAAGACCUGUUUGCCUAGCCCUAGAGCCCAGAGAUGUUCUUCUGUUUGUUUUUAAGCUUUACAGUUUUAUGUUUCCAUUGGAAUCUGUCGUCCAUUUUGACUUUUCAACAUCUUCACAUUGGUGAACUCUGCUGUUCUUUCCUUACUGCACAGAGGAAACACCGCGUCCUGGAGGAAAUAAUGUCUUCUGGAUAGAUCUUAGGUGCAGCCCUUGUGGCACUUCUGUGUUCCAAAUCUUAGAACGUUGUUGCUGGAAGGCAUCACAGAAAAGCUCUACCUCAGUGUUUCCCAAAAGUGUGCUCCAUGGAACCUGAAGGCACCCUGUGAUUAAAGGGUUCUGUGGCCAAGUGGGUUGGCGAAGACUGCAGACUUCUCUGUUCCCUUCCUUCCUCUUGAUACUUUGUUAAAGGUUCUGAGAAGGUUUGCAGCCAAUAAAUCUGUUUAGUGUUGUUUAACUCAAUGCUUCCCUAUUUGCUUGACCUCAUAAUCCCCCUUUUAUAACGUGCAGAACACGUUUUUGGAGCACCUGUUUUUCUUCUGGUGCCCACAUUUUAGUCUUGAAGAAACUAUGGGCCCCCAAAGGUGAGAGCUUUGUCGGUCUAGUGACCACAGGAGUGCUGUGUGUUUCCCCUCAUCUCCUUUUGCCUUUCCUGUGGCGUUCC
ensembl:lncRNA